rnacentral:rRNA from 1 species
AUUGAACGCUGGCGGCAUGCUUUACACAUGCAAGUCGGACGGCAGCACAGAGAAGCUUGCUUCUUGGGUGGCGAGUGGCGAACGGGUGAGUAAUAUAUCGGAACGUACCGAGUAAUGGGGGAUAACUAAUCGAAAGAUUAGCUAAUACCGCAUAUUCUCUGAGGAGGAAAGCAGGGGACCUUCGGGCCUUGCGUUAUUCGAGCGGCCGAUAUCUGAUUAGCUAGUUGGUGGGGUAAAGGCCUACCAAGGCGACGAUCAGUAGCGGGUCUGAGAGGAUGAUCCGCCACACUGGGACUGAGACACGGCCCAGACUCCUACGGGAGGCAGCAGUGGGGAAUUUUGGACAAUGGGCGCAAGCCUGAUCCAGCCAUGCCGCGUGUCUGAAGAAGGCCUUCGGGUUGUAAAGGACUUUUGUCAGGGAAGAAAAGGCUGUUGCUAAUACCGACAGCUGAUGACGGUACCUGAAGAAUAAGCACCGGCUAACUACGUGCCAGCAGCCGCGGUAAUACGUAGGGUGCGAGCGUUAAUCGGAAUUACUGGGCGUAAAGCGAGCGCAGACGGUUACUUAAGCAGGAUGUGAAAUCCCCGGGCUCAACCUGGGAACUGCGUUCUGAACUGGGUGACUAGAGUGUGUCAGAGGGAGGUAGAAUUCCACGUGUAGCAGUGAAAUGCGUAGAGAUGUGGAGGAAUACCGAUGGCGAAGGCAGCCUCCUGGGAUAACACUGACGUUCAUGCUCGAAAGCGUGGGUAGCAACAGG